AUGAUACUCCCUCUGUCCCAAAAUUCUUGUCUUAAAUUUGUCUAAAUACGGAUGUAUCAAGUCAUGUUUUAGUAUUAGAUACAUCCGUAUCUAGACAGAUCUAAGACAAGAAUUUUGGGACGGAGGGAGUACCUA
rnacentral:pre_miRNA from 1 species